GAUGAACGCUGGCGGCGUGCUUAACACAUGCAAGUCGAACGAUGAAGCCCAGCUUGCUGGGUGGAUUAGUGGCGAACGGGUGAGUAACACGUGAGUAACCUGCCCUUGACUCUGGGAUAAGCCUGGGAAACUGGGUCUAAUACUGGAUAUGACUUCUCAUCGCAUGGUGGGGGGUGGAAAGAUUUAUUGGUCUUGGAUGGACUCGCGGCCUAUCAGCUUGUUGGUGAGGUAAUGGCUCACCAAGGCGACGACGGGUAGCCGGCCUGAGAGGGUGACCGGCCACACUGGGACUGAGACACGGCCCAGACUCCUACGGGAGGCAGCAGUGGGGAAUAUUGCACAAUGGGCGCAAGCCUGAUGCAGCGACGCCGCGUGAGGGAUGACGGCCUUCGGGUCGUAAACCUCUUUCAGUAGGGAAGAAGCGAGAGUGACGGUACCUGCAGAAGAAGCGCCGGCUAACUACGUG
rnacentral:rRNA from 1 species